rnacentral:rRNA from 1 species
GGGAACGUGCCCUUUGCUACGGAAUAGCCCCGGGAAACUGGGAGUAAUACCGUAUGUGCCCCUUGGCCUUGGCGGUCAUGGGGGAAAGAUUUAUCGGCAAAGGAUCGGCCCGCGUUGGAUUAGGUAGUUGGUGGGGUAAUGGCCCACCAAGCCGACGAUCCAUAGCUGGUUUGAGAGGAUGAUCAGCCACACUGGGACUGAGACACGGCCCAGACUCCUACGGGAGGCAGCAGUGGGGAAUCUUAGACAAUGGGGGCAACCCUGAUCUAGCCAUGCCGCGUGAGUGAUGAAGGCCUUAGGGUUGUAAAGCUCUUUCAGCUGGGAAGAUAAUGACGGUACCAGCAGAAGAAGCCCCGGCUAACUCCGUGCCAGCAGCCGCGGUAAUACGGAGGGGGCUAGCGUUGUUCGGAAUUACUGGGCGUAAAGCGCACGUAGGCGGACCGGACAGUCAGAGGUGAAAUCCCAGGGCUCAACCUUGGAACUGCCUUUGAAACUAUCGGUCUGGAGUUCGAGAGAGGUGAGUGGAAUUCCGAGU